AAACAUGCAUAUCCAAAACCAAAAGCAUUCAAAUGGCUUCAAAACUUAGAAAAGCUUCAAAAAUUAGGUAAGAGCUUUAAGCAACAAAAAAAAAGCUUUAAGCAACAAAAAAAGUUUUCAAUAGGUAAGAGCUUUAACCAAUAAGAGGUUACCAAAUGAAGAAAAAUCAGACAUAGAGACUUACCACAAUGCUCACAUCUGUUAUGAAAGAUGAGACAUGGGAGAAGACGCUGGCAGAAGACUUUCAGGGAAGUCCUCUAGUGCAUUAUGUUAAAAAAAAAUUCUAAGAAGACUUAUUUGGAAGUCUUCGAAAGCCUAACACAGAUCUGAAAACCAUGCAUAUCAAAAGCAUUCAAAUGGUAUCAAAACAGAGAAAAGCUUCAAAAAUAAGGUAAGAGAUUUAACCAACAAAAAAAAAAUUUCAAAAAGUAAGAGCUUUAAGCAACAAAACGUUACCAAACGAAGAAACAUGAUUUAUAGAUCUACCUUUAAAGGAAUGGAAGAUGAGAACCAUGUCAUGAAAAACCUUCAAAAACAAAAUAAAUCAGUAAGAAAAACAUGAAACAAAAAUUAGAAAUUGAUAUAAAGUUUGGUGUUUUCAAGUUCAAAAAAAUUAAAGCGAGGUUUGAGAGUUUUAGAGUGAGGAA
rnacentral:lncRNA from 1 species